AUGAAUUGCUUGCUCAUGCUAGCAUCUUUUUCUUUAGCAUUCCAACAGAGGAACCAGCUUGACAUUGCACUUAAGAGAAGGAAUCAGGCUUUCAUCAGCAAGAGCAAGAGUCACAGUCUCAAAGGUGACCUCCACGAAUCGUUGUACUUUCAUGUCGAGGUGGUAGCGCAGGGAUUUCAUGUGGAGCAAGUUUGUUAUGGCACCUUGAUUAAUGACUUAUGUAAACUUGGAAAAACAACAUAA